UACAGAGAGUGCAAGCGUUGUUCGGAAUUAUUGGGCGUAAAGCGCGUGUAGGCGGCUCGAUAAGUCUGGCGUGAAAGCCUGAGGCUUAACCUCAGAAGUGCGCUGGAAACUGUCAAGCUGGAGUAUCGGAGGGGGAAGUGGAAUGCCGAGUGUAGAGGUGAAAUUCGUAGAUAUUCGGCAGAACAUCAGUGGCGAAGGCGACUUCCUGGACGAAUACUGACGCUGAGACGCGAAAGCGUGGGUAGCAAACAGG
rnacentral:ncRNA from 2 species